rnacentral:tRNA from 1 species
AGCCCUGAGGUGUAGAACACGCCAGAUUGCAAAUCUGAAAUAGCAGGGUAAUGCCUGCCGGGGCUU